AUUGACUGACCCCGGCUCGUUAAGACGUCGACAAGGCGCCACAUUAAAAGGAACGGCAGAUCAAAACACUUGUGGAACAAAAGAAGGAGAACAGAUUUUGCAACAUUGGUUAUUCAUGUAACAGGACCGGAUCGGGGAAGUUGUUGCUUAAGACAAGCUCGCGGAAAAACAUGCUAAUACUCGCAUUUUGCUACACGAAUGGGCCUGUUUGAUUUUAAAAUGUUUAUUAGUACUCCGAUUCUACCAGAACGGAAGACAGGCUGGUUCAAAGUCAACAAAAGCCGGGUACGGAUCGACGCCCUCAUAUUCUGCCCAGGUGUGAUAACUGAUGGAGCGUUUUUUUUUCUUUUCUUCUACUCCCACCUGCAUACGUCGCUACAAACACGGCCCACAGAAAUAACAACCGCUAGAAACUUAAACCCAGUAAGUCAUGAAGAACCACUUCUCGGACAACUCGUCUUUGUGACAGUGAGCCCGUAUCGGUUGAGGUAUACAACUCUGUCUUCUGAACAUCUCACCCAGAAAGCAUCAAAGGGACGGAGUUAAGUUACCGUGAAGUAAGCGGAGCCAUUUAAAUCAGAAAGAGCCGAGUAUCUGAGGCCAACGUUUCGGUGUCACCAUUCUCUGAGAACGCUGCCAGUGUCACUUCUCUUCGUGGUUUUAUUCUGCAGGUCGGAGUGAGGACAACACGGCCAGCAUCAGACCCCAAAACAAGGUCAAGCGGCUCCUAUCCAUUCGAGCCCUCAUUCCGGGGACGUAAAUCCUCCGCCGAAAACCUGCAAAUAAAUACGCCCGUCGAGUUGGAGGGUGAGGGGGGGGGGGGCGUCCGUGGAAAACCCACUCCGGGUUAUUUCUGGGCGACUCGUGAAGGGGAGAAAUGAAAGCCUUUAGAAAAUCUUCAGCCAGCGCCUUUUAGCCGUUAGCUGGCUAAUGGAGCUAAUGGGCUAGCAGCCACGCGCUUGCUCGCAGAAUCCCGCUCGAAAUUCUGUGGUUCAAUACUCGCCCCGGUGUAAAUCCGUUAGGGAGCCGCUUAAACGCCGGUGAAAGGUACGGCGCGUAGGUGAGGGGGGCGGAACGGAGACGGUUAAACGGGGAGCGGCGGGGAUUCCUCUGUAAGCCGCAUCUUCACGCUCCAUGUCGUGGUGGUGUGUGUGUGUGUGGGGGGGGGCAAACGCAUAAAGUCCCGUUAUUGGUGAAGGUGGUAUGAUCAGGAAUCAAAUCUUCCCUAGAAAACUUGGAUUACAUGUCCCCAAAAAACACAAUUCUGUGGCGUGAAAAAAGCCAAUUUUCUUUUAUAUCUCUAAAAAAAAAAAUCAUCCGAAUAUCCCGUGUUUUUCUCUUUUUUAGGAGACCGCAGUCUCCCUCUCCUCCUUCUUCCUC